UCUUCUACUCGUUAUGAUGAUAUUAUUGUAUAAUAUAUUAUUCAAUUCACACUAUUUAGAGUUUAAGCUUAUCAAAAAGUAAAUUUAAGUGCAUGUAUACAUAUAACAUAAAUUUUUUGAUAAAGAUAUAUUUAUAAAUUAUAUAAAUAAUUUCAAUCUCUUUAUAUCUUCAUUUAUCUGGAUCAGUUUGACAACUUGAUUAUAGUAGUUUUAUUCUGUGACAACCCUGGUAGAAAUUGCCUUGCCGGUGCCAUUUGUUAGCACCAUGCAAGUUUGCCACACUACAGCCUUAUCUAAAAGAAUUGGAAAGAUACAUAUCAGGGCCAUCCUUGCGUCUGAUAUAUAAAUGGCGUGGCAUUCAUUAUAAAGUUAAACGGGCGCAAGUCUGGAUUUGACCAGACUUCUAAUGCGGCCCAUAUUUGCGCCACGUCAAAUGCUGUCGAGAUUUUUAUUGAUUUUCACAUUUAAUGUAUAUCUUUUGUCAUACAUACAUCUCUUGUUUUUUUUUAUCCUUUCCUUUGCCUGGAUUUUUUGCAUGCAUCAUCAGCUCAUUCGGGGUAAAAUUGCACGAUGUCUGACAGCGAUGAUGAACAAAUAGUUCAUCGAUUUAAAAUUGUCAGAUUUAUUA